UCUUGUGGACAUAAAAUCCCAUCUUUUUUUGUAAAGGGUUUAUUUGUAUCCUUAAUAAAAGGGUUGGCGAAACUCCGGACUUUUGUCGUGUCCGGAGUUAAAUGUCGCACUGUUUUACACCAAAAGGAGUACCAACUUUGUGCUCGGGCAUGUCUAAUAAAGGUGGUUUUCAUUAAAUACAAUGUACAGCAUGCAAAAUUCUUCGUCUGCUCCGCCAUGCUUGUUAUCGCGAGAUCUCGUAGGUGGAUCUAAUGAAAAACCUAAGCAUUGACAAUCAGCGCGAAAAUGUAGUUACUCGAGCCACUUCGACAAAGAAAGGGAAAUCAUAUUGUUGCAGAAAGAAUUUACACUCUGCUGUUUGGUUUUUAACUUGAUAUUAAAUUCAAACCUUUUCAAUACCGACGAAAUAGCUUUCGCCUCCAUACUUUUCCAUUGAUGUAAAUAUUACCUUAUAUGGCAUAUGCAAAUGACUUGACAAUCGGAAGUUUAUACUUCAGUACAUCAAACAUGGCGCACAAAUAUGAAUCGAGAAAUUGGAAUUUAUCGAAAUUGUUGAAAACGGUAGAAUAGAGCCUCACAAAUCUUAAGUUGCAGGUUGUAAAUUUAUAUAUUGACUAAGAAACAUAGAAUAUCAUUUUAUUUACGUAAAGAAAGUCAGGAAAUGUUUAGAAUGAGCGCAAAUGUUGCGGGAGUGAAUCACUCCCGUAUUUGCACCAUUACGGAGAUCCUAAGGAGUUGUAGCCCUCUCCUAAAAAAAAAAAAAAAAUAUUAGAGAGGGCUACAUUAUUGCAGCUACACCAUGCAUAGCUGCGCUAAGUAAACAAAGUUGUUGAUGUAGCGUGAUCGUGAUGUCCGAGUGCUGCGAGUUUCAAUACUGUUUAUGUAGUCAUUGAGAGUUUAAACAAAGUUUCUUCUGAGAAGAGGAAUUCGAUGGAUGUAUUCAACGUGGACAACGAAAUCAUAAUUUCGUUUGCAUCAUCCUAAGGACCAGUGCAAGUUGAAAUGGGCUUCGAGCCAACAACUUCAACAGCAAUUUGCCAUGAAAAUCAGCAAGAAAGGUGCUUCAUUUACAUUGAUGAUGUCAUAUCCCCUAGACCCCACAACUUUACAGGUUACAGAGAAAAUUCAAGAACUUCUGCCAAAAUGUGGGACUUGGAUAGAAUCAAUAAUGUAUAUGUGAGUCCAGAGCAAUGGAUAUAUUGUACAACAUACUAAAGUGUGAAUUUAAUGGAAAACAAGUACAUGUACUCAUGUAUUACAUGUCUUUUUUAAAGACAAUAAUAUUGCAUAAAUAUAGAGGAAGUGUCAUUGUUGAUUAUUCUAAGUUUUGAUAUAUCAAAAUCAGUAAACAUUUGUAAAUGAAAAUAAAAUAACAAUUUUAUAACUUUAA